rnacentral:rRNA from 1 species
UACGGAGGGGGCUAGCGUUGUUCGGAAUUACUGGGCGUAAAGCGCACGUAGGCGGCUUUGUAAGUUAGAGGUGAAAGCCCAGGGCUCAACCCUGGAAUUGCCUUUAAGACUGCAUCGCUUGAAUCAUGGAGAGGUGAGUGGAAUUCCGAGUGUAGAGGUGAAAUGCGUAGAUAUCGGAAGGAACACCAGUGGCGAAAGCGGCUUCCUGGUCCAGCACCGACGUUCAGGCACGAAAGCGUGGGGAGCAAACAGG